rnacentral:lncRNA from 1 species
UGCCCUUUUCCUUCCCAGCUUUCUGCAGAAUGACGUAUGCCACGUGCUGGAACUAGGAGCCCAGAUGAGAAUCCAGCCGUCCCCUGAGACGGAGGACAUCCAGAGAGUGGCAAAAAUGUCCCACUUGCCGCCUCCCGCACUGAUCUUUGUGUAGAGAGACGACCCUGUCACCCGGUGCUGUCUCCUAGGACACAGACGUUCAAGGUGUCUCCCCACGCGGGACCAGGUCGCUGCGCUGGUCCACAGCUGUCUCACUGCCCCUCUGUCCACUGGCAGCUGCCUCCAGCGUGAGGCCGGGGAAGGGACUUCUGUGGGACGGGAGCGUGGGUCUCCCCUAGCACAGGGUGAGCGGCGGUCCUCAGCGGAGAGGCUGCUGUUUACCAAGGCUGGCUCCCGCGCUCACGCUCGGUGUGGAGGACCACGGGCUCAACCCCUCGGAGGAGCCUCACCUCCUCACCUGCAGAUGGGGACUGAGGCAGUAAGGACGCGGAGCAGUCCGGUGCGCAGCAGCUGUACGGUUUUGCGUUUCUAUAAUAAAUGUAAUUUACAGAUACAAGAAAGGUCAGUAAGAACAGAAAGCCACGUUUUGGGGGGUGAAAUUUUCUCCACUCGGUAGGUGCCUGAUUGUUGAACAAGCCCCUGUACGCGUCCAAGUAGGUGACAGUUCUCUUGUCCCCCUGAAGGACUAACUGUUGCUUCUUUCCUGGUGCCGGGGGCUCCGGAGAGCAGGGUGUGCAGCCUCUCCCAAACCGCAUCACCAGAGCCCUGGGGAGCCCGGAUCCCAGGUCUGCCCAGCCCCGCCAGGGUGAAGGCCCGGGUGCAGGAGCACACACGUCCCGACCGCGGGUUUUAACAGUGUCCAGUGCACCUCUGAACAGAGCCCUUGCUGCUUAUUUUUAAAAGGACAUGUUUUUCUUUCUCUCUCUCCCUCUCCCUCCCUAGCCCAGGGUGAAGAACAAGAGCACCUUGGGUUACCUAUCUGAUCCCCACAGGAAGGAGAUGUCCCUGGGAGAGUAGGAAGCGACUGUCUCCAAAAAUAACAAGUGAAUUUCCACGUACCUUCAGGCGGGUGCACCUGGGACCCUGCCGCGGCACACCUGCAGUGCAGCCUUUCCAUAGCUUCUUUAAAAGCCCCCUGUCCCCUGAGGGGCAGAGUCACAGUCUCUGGGACAGGUCUUCCCUGUGUUCUCCUUUUCUAGUAAACAAUAAACCUUCUUUUUCCUUCCUCAAAA